rnacentral:lncRNA from 1 species
AAAUUUAACUUCUCAGCAACAUUAAUUACUUAUAUUUUAUUAUUAUUAUUAUUAUUAUUAUUAGAGUAAUACUUCAAUACCCCAUAUAAAUCUCGACCAUUUAUUUUUCUUAAUAGAUGAUUUAGAUUUAAUAUGACUCUAGAGGUGACCUACUAUUGAAGCAUAGGUACCAUUCACCAGGUACUUAUUUAAAGGGUAUUUUGGUUUUUGUAAAAUAUUUUUGGUCUACAAAACCAGUUUUAUUCAACUAAGAAUACUGUGACUUUUCAAAUGCCUACAACAAUAGUUGGAUUUCAAAUUACAACCAAAUUGUAAUAUUAAAUUCAAAACAACAUUUAAAACUUAAUUAUAAAUCAAAUUCAAUUUUUUAAAUAUAAAACACAAAUUUAAAAUAAUACUUUCAGUUCCAAUUCAAAAUUUUAAUUUAAAUCAAAAAUUAAAAUUUGGCUUUAAGAUUAAAAGUUUAAUUUAGAUUCAAAUUUAAAAGUUUAAUAUAAUUUUCAAAAUUAAAAUUUUACAUUAUAAUACCAACUUCAAAAAUUAAAUUUAAAUUUAAUAUUUUUUGUGCUGAAUACUUAAAAAAUUAGGUAUUAUCUAAUUUAGUAAGUUACCAAAGUAAAUAUGAUAUUUAAUAUUUAUAGGAUGAUGACAAAUUUAGUAGAUAUUACUAUUUUUUUUUCUAAUAUUGUUAUAUUAACAAUUCAAAUCGGUAACCUAUGCAACAGGUUACUUCAUGUAAAAUCCAAUUAUACCCUUUACUAAUUAAGAAUUAGAUUUUAAUAUUUAUGGUGUAUUGAAGCAUUUCUCUUAUUAUUAUUAUUAUUAUUAAAGUACGUCUUGUGUCAUUUUGAAAGCACGAAGGUUUUCAUACUUUCAAAUUAUUCUCGAUGAUAGAACAUUCGAUUCAACGAUUAUUUAUGUUAUGCAUUAUUCUCGACAAUGGAAUAUCCAAUUCGACGAUUAUUUAUGUUAUGCAUGAUCUACGCUAUUAGAACUAUAUAUCUAGAAAUUUAAUUUCGUGAUUUUUCGAUAUCAUUUGCUAAGUGAUCAAAAGGACUGAAAAAUGACUAUUUUAACAUGUAGAACAAUCUAAAUUAUGUGAAAUUUUAUUUAAAAAAGUGUACUUACUAUCAAGAGCGAGAUCAAUAUUUUUUAU